UACUAUAUAUGUAUACAGUUACAGCUUACAUUUACCUCCUAAUAUAUGCAUAUAUUUACAUAAAUAUGCAUAUAUAUUAGGAGGUAAAUGUAAGCUCUGUGGUUUAUCAUUUAUUCACAAUUGCUCUUAAUUCUUGAGGUAUACUUUGCCUCCUACAUGUUGCAAUUCAGUGAAAUUCUCAGGAGACAAAACAAGAUUUUGACCUGAAUAAACCAGUUAUUGUUGUAAUUCACAAGUGAGUUUAUUCUUCCUGGCACACUUCCAGGUAAUAUCCAUUAGGCCAAGGAUUUUGUUUGUUCACUGUUCUAUCCCCAAGCCUAGAGCAUUGCCCAGUGUGGAAUAGCUAACAAAUAUUGUUGGAUGGAUAGAUGAAUGGCAAUUUGGUUGGUAUGCUCUACAUAGUCAGUAGUCAAUAAAGGAAACAGAUAUAUUUGUCCCUGAUAAUAAGAUGAUUCACUUUAUUGCCCAUAAAUUGGGUUUUUUUCAGACCAUGAUGCACGUUGAUUGUUCCAGAGAUCCCUCAAGCAUGAAAAAGCAGAGACAUAGGUGGCAUAAUUAUUAUCAGUAAAUACAAAACUUAAGAAAUAUAGCUGACAAAAAAAAGGGAAAUGAUGUGUUACAGUUUAUUUGAGCUAUAAAAGGCAAAUAGUGAACAUAGCAACGUAUGUAACCUAAGGGAUAGAGGAAAAGAUUUUUUUUUGUUUUUUUUUUUAAUUCUGGGUAAAAAUACAUGUGGUGACAAACAGCAUAUCAUUACCAUCAGCAUCAUUUAAAAAAUAUAUUGAGUUUUUAAUACCAG